rnacentral:rRNA from 1 species
AUGAAUUUUGACAGAUCCCUUCGGGGUGAAGACAAAAUGGCUUAGCGGCGGACGGGUGAGUAACACGUGAGUAACCUGCCUUAGACAUUGGGAUAGCCUCGGGAAACCGGGAUUAAUACCAAAUAAAAUCAUAGGUGCACAUGCACUAAUGAUCAAAACUCCGGUGGUCUAAGAUGGACUCGCGUCCCAUUAGCUAGUUGGUAGGGUAACGGCCUACCAAGGCGACGAUGGGUAGCCGGCCUGAGAGGGUGAACGGCCACAUUGGAACUGAGAAACGGUCCAAACUCCUACGGGAGGCAGCAGUGGGGAAUAUUGCACAAUGGAGGGAACUCUGAUGCAGCGACGCCGCGUGAACGAAGAAGGCUUUCGAGUCGUAAAGUUCUUUUAUAUGGGAAGAUAAUGACGGUACCAUAAGAAAAAGCCCCGGCUAACUACGUGCCAGCAGCCGCGGUAAUACGUAGGGGGCUAGCGUUGUCCGGAAUCACUGGGCGUAAAGGGUUCGCAGGCGGAAAUGCAAGUCAGGUGUAAAAGGCAGUAGCUUAACUACUGUAAGCAUUUGAAACUGCAUAUCUUGAGAAGAGUAGGGGUAAGUGGAAUUUUUAGUGUAGCGGUGAAAUGCGUAGAUAUUAAAAAGAAUACCGGUGGCGAAGGCGACUUACUGGGCUCAUUCUGACGCUGAGGAACGAAAGCGUGGGUAGCAAACAGGAUUAGAUACCCUGGUAG